UCCUCCUAAAAUUUUUUCCAUCUUGCAUAUUCUCAAGUGUUUUAGAGAGACACAAGGCGAAAGUGAAAUGGUCUACAUGUGUUCUUUGCAUUUGAACAGGAGAACCAGCAAAUGUAUAAACACAAUGGAAAUGAGAUUAUCCAUUUGAACCUGAAAAUUGGAAGGAAAAAGGAGAAAAAAGAAAGUUCUACUGUGAUUGUUGUUUCUAUGGAAAAGAAUGGCAUUAUUCACUAUU